GAGAAGAAGAAGGGGCUUCUGCCCUGCUUGUGGGGAGGGACAGCAGGAGGAGGUGGAGAAGUGAGAAAGUGGCGAGCCAUUCGUGCAACUUGUCUUCUAUUAUUGCCUUCAAGAGGCCAGGCAUUCACCGAUGGGUUCCCACCAGGCUGAAUUUCUUCUCGUGCAUCCUCCUUGGCCUCCUGUGGUAUCCGACCUGUUCCCCGCUGUGUGCCCACCUGUGCCCCUGGAGGAGGGCAGGGGCUGGUGGGUCUGAUGGCACAGCUGCUUGUGUGACCUUCUGCUCACCCCAGUCAGCUGAAAUGGGCCAGAUUAGAGGGAAAUGGCAGAUCUUUGAGGUUUUGGUGUGCGUGGAGUGAGAGAUUAAGGAGAGCACCUGGAGCAGGUCGGCGUGCAGGUAAUGAGAGUGGCGACAUCUUUGGAGAGCAGGAGGAAGCUGGAUGGAGCUGGGCCUCAUGCCCCUUGAACAAGCAAAUGGCCAGCACUAGAAGCAUGAAGAAAAAAUACAUCCUCCUCCUUCUUUGGCUACUGCCAAAUGGCAGAAGGAGGGCAUACGUGGUGACAACUGCCUGCUCCAGUGAGUGGCCAGAGGCAGGGCCAUCAGGCUGUGAGGGUAGCUUCGUUUUGUUCACGAGGAGAACACGUCUGCUGUGGAGGACAGGCCACAGCAGGUGGCUCCAGCACCUUCACAAGAACCCAUGGGGCCUGCCUGGUGCAGACCCAUGGGCCUCCAAGAGCAGGCUCGCUGGAAAUAGUUAUUAAGAGCAAUUUCUCUUUUGGCAGUAGUUACUGCUAGAAAAACACAAUAUGACAUAAAGCUGUGGUAAGCAGCCCAUAAAGGACCUAUGAAUUUUUCUUACUAUGGUUAGAUUUAUUACUUUGUUUACUUUUUCUGAUUCAAAUCUAGUUGAAAUCAUUGAAAGUCCUUAAGGAAGCAGGUUGGAGCAAUCUGAGCAGAACCAUGCCAUGGACGUCACAUUUCCUCAAACCAUGUGAGAGGCCUCCUGGGGGUCCUGAACACUGACGGGGCUUUUUGGAGGUGACAGCUUGGAUGCCACUGGCUUCUUGUCCUCUGCCUGUGGUGUAGCACUCACUGAAUCUGGAGCCUGGGGUUUGGGCUCGUUUCCAUCUGCCAAACUCAGUCUGAAUCAAGCACAAAAAGAUAGACAGACCAUAAAAUACUUCAUCUUCCCAGAAGGUAUUUUCCUUUGUUUUACUCAUCUGUAAUGAAUUUAACGUUCAGAGGAGCUCAGCAAAAAAGCUGGGGGUCAGAGAACAUCGGGCUUGCUUGGAGACCGUGCACUGAUGGUGAAGCUGAAGACCACCAUGGACAGAGCAGGAGCUGGGCUCUUGCCUGCGGUGGUGCUGGGAUGUGGGGUCUGCUUGCAUCAUGGACCUCCCGCCUGCCCUUGCUGCCUCCCAGCCCUUGCUCCCUCCUGUAGCAUCGCCCUGCAUAAGCAGGGAAUGAGGAACUGACUUCUGCAAGUGAUUAACUAAUUAAAAUGCACUAGGACAAUUGCAAUUGAGUGUCUGACUAUAACCUUCAGCUCUAGCUUAAUUAGUACAUAAACCUUGCUUUACGCCCUGUGCAAAGGAAUGAAUUUAAUACACUUGGAAUUAUCUGUUCAGCCUACCAAGGAGGGGACCAACAGCUCACUCUGCCACCGAUACCGCUCCUCACCUCACUGGGCUGUGAUCAGUCAUUGAUACCUUACGGGGCACUGAAGGAGUUUAAUGAUUUUAAGUCAAUAAGGACUGGGCUAGACGAAUGCUAGCCUGGAUGAUGGCAUUGUACAGAGGAACAGUCUCAACCAGUUUCCAGCAGCAUGAGAAAUACAUUUGUAUUGCUUGUAAUUAUAUGUUUUUAGCCAAAUUAAUCACGGCACUAAAGCUAAUUUUGGUUCAACGGAAUUGUACCAUGCUAUGCUUACUCUGAGUUUGACCCUCUGACUUUGUGCAAGCUAGGUCUCUGGAUGUUGGUUAUGGGAAGAGGGAAAAAUUAUCUACUUGUUAGCACUGGAGGUGUUGCAGCAAAACUGGCCGAGCAGGGACAUUUGGUAGCUUUUGUGAAAUAUUUGGGGGUUAACUUGAUAAGAAUUGCGUUUUCUCCAACUUAUUAACAAAAGAAAACUGGAUAAGAAAUCAUUCCAGUUGGAACAAAACAUUUGCUUCAUUUGUAGUCUUUAUUGUUCAGUUUUCUAGAAAGAAAUUGGGUGAUACAAUACCAUUUCAAAAUAAAACAUCAUAAUGUUUCAGUAUGGAAAUUUGAAGUGGGGGAAGGAGACCAGCAAGCUGAAGUGAAUGAACUCAGUGCUAGCUUGUGCCGUAUUUCUGGUUGACCAGGAUCUGGAUUUUUGAACAUAAACACCUGAGCCCAGCUGUACCUGGGAGAAAUAACCCCAAGUCCUUGCUUGGCACAAGCUCCUUGAUGGACCUCAGGUGAGCCACUCAGGCCUUUAGACCUCAGUGAAGGGCAAUUUCAGGAGCUCAGGAAAAAAGUCACAAUCUGUGUUUUCCCCAAAUGAGUAAUCCACAUAAUGUUUAUAACUAAUCUAAAGCUUUUGUUUACAUCAGUUCUUUUUGGUUUUGACCUUUUCAUCCUUAAUUGUUUUUCUCUUUUUAAAUGAAGUUAAAUUUUGAAUCAGCUUAAACAGAAAACUAAAGCUUUUAAUUAGUAAACUGUUGAAACAAGAUGUUUCAGAGUUCAGAACUUUUUGAGCACCUCACAUUAUCAUUGGGUCAAAAUGGACCUUCUCCUUUGAAAAGUUCUGGUUCCAGGAUUUCUCAAUGGGGAAAAGGAGUUUAAAUGGACAAGCUUUAAAUAUUUCUGGUACCUGUAGUAGCUUUUUCGAACCCCUUCACAUGCUUCACUUUUACCCUCCCACACACACUGCUGAGAAACAAAUCCUUUGGAAAUGGAAAUCAGGCUUGAAGUAAACAGAUUAGUAAUGGUUAUUUGGUAGCACUUUAUUAAUUAAAUGUCCUAAAUACACUUAAACCUAAGCAUUUAAUUUAGAUUUAUAAGGAUAAUUUAGAUUUAUAAGAAUAGCUAUUAUACAUUACGUACAGUAAAUGCCAAUUGAUUUUUAUAGACAAUAUUUACUGAGGUGUAACCACACUGCAAAAUUUAAUUAUCUUCGUACUUUGUUAAGAGGA